UUAACAACCAGCUUAUAACAUUCCUGAUAUUUAAGUGGCUCUCAGGAGGCAAUACUUUCACACAUCACAACCACCUCCACUUCCCCAUACCUUCCCUUCCACCUUCCACCCUGAGGAAUCAGCCAGCCUGAAGGAGUGGGGCAGAGAGCAGAAGCCUGCCCUUCCAUAACAGAUCUGCGGCUGGGAGGGAGAGGAGAAGGGACUUCUCCUAGAAUGGAAAUGGUGUGCUGAUUCAUACCUUGGACUAGACAUUUAGAAAUUUGAGACUUCUUGUGACUUAAACUGCCUGUUCUACCAGAGAUCAAGGAGACUGAGAAGCCAA
rnacentral:lncRNA from 1 species